UACGGAAGGCAGCAGGGGGAAUAUUGCACAAUGGGCGAAAGCCUGAUGCAGCUAUGCCGCGUGUAUGAAGAAGGCCUUAGGGUUGUAAAGUACUUUCAUCGGGGAGGAAAAAACAAAACUAAUAAUUUUAUUUCUUGACGUUACCCGAAAAAGAAGCACCGGCUAACUCCGUGCCAGCAGCCGCGGUAAUACGGAGGGUGCUAGCGUUAAUCAGAAUUACUGGGCGUAAAGAGCACGUAGGUGGUUUUUUUAAAGUCAGAUGUGAAAUCCCUGGGCUUUAACCUAGGAACUGCAUUUUGAAACUGAAAUACUAGAGUAUCGUAGAGGGAGGUAGAAUUCUAGGUGUAGCGGUGAAAUGCGUAGAUAUCUGGAGGAAUACCUGUGGCGAAAGCGGCCUCCUAAACGAAUACUGACACUGAGGUGCGAAAGCGUGGGGAGCAAACAGGGAUUAGAUACCCGU
rnacentral:rRNA from 1 species